GAGGGCUUGCUGCCGGGUUGCUUAGGGAGAGGCAAGGCCACUUCGUACCACUUCCACUGCUCUCCCCUUUGCCUAAGUCGUGACAGGGCCACCAUCGUCAUCAGGAGAAUCUAUAGUCCUCCACUGCCAGGGAAAAGGUCAUACAUGUGAAAAGCUUGAACACGGGGAAGCGGGUGAGAGGAAGGAAGCGCAGAUCACUGCAGCAUCAUUCAGUUCUCUUCCCAAGCAGAGAAGUUUGGUCCCAAAGGAAGCCUUUCCCAGCAACGAAGGCUGGAAGGGAGCUGCCACUCGGUGCAGCUAAGAUCUGCACUUCUGUCUUCAAGACGGAUGGACGUUAGCAUUCCAGCGUUUGUGUCAUGUGAAUGCAAGAUUCAGAGUAUAUGUACUCCGUUUGCGCCCAACUUGGAAAUUACAAGGGAUAAUCUCUUCGGAUAGAUCCUUGGUGUAGUAUUGAGCAAAAAUAUACCAAAACAGCAGGAAUUUUAGCCUGAUCUCUCUGUCAAAACACAGGCCACCUAAGUGUGAACAUACGACUCCGAAAACGAUCACAGCUGACAGAGAUUGGCUCAUGUGCGUUCCUGAGCUCUGAGCUAACUGCUUCUCAUCAACGAUUUCACUUCAACCUCAGAGUGUAUUGUACUAACGCAGUUUUACAUUCGGAGGACCUGAACUCCACAAUCAGAAGCAGCCGUUGUGUGGGUCUUUGCAGUGGCAGAAGAAACGCUGCUCAUAAGCUGCUUCCUCAAGGAGUAGAGUAAAGAGUAUACCUGAUGGAUUGCCCCCGGAAAGCAGCAAGUUUUGGUGCAAUUUGCUGUGCAGAAGAUGAUAAGGAACAUGGUAAAUUCCCAGGAGGCUUCAAGUUGUGGGCUUUCGGCUUGAACUUUCCAAACCAAAUGCCCAGCUGACAAUCUUAACCAUCUGUAUCCUGAACCCCAACCAAGGGAGGCGGAGUUCAAUCUUCUCAUAGUUCUCAAGCACACGACCUAUGAGACAAGAGGCUCACAGCUUCCUGCUGCCCUCGAAAGUGCUCCUCUGUCAGAAUGGAAGUGAGGAGCUAUGGAUAUCCUCCCAGACUGUGCUUGCCUGAUGCCCAUCCAUCCCUUCGUGUUUGGUGUCAUGAGGAGGAGUGGCGUUUCUCUCAUCGACCCACUCAGGAAACUCACCUAGCAGCCUUUCACCUGAAAUGGGAUGGAGAACGUCUUUGUUCCUCUAGCCGUUUGCCUUAACUCAGCUUUUAGCACUUUACCCCAGAGAUCUGCCCUUUCUCCUGUUUUGCUUGAGAUUGUCUCUCCUUUAAAAAUUUUUUUUUUGAGAUUUUAUUUAAUAUAUGAGUGCUUUACCUGAACAUACAUCUGUGAACCAUGUGUGUGCAGUGUCCUUGGAGGUCAGAAGGGGACAUCAGAUGCCUUGGAACUGGAGUUACAGACAGCUGUGAGCUAUCAAGUGGGUGCUGGGAGUCAAACCCAGGUCCUCCAGGUCCUCUGGAAGAGCAAGCAGUGCUCUUGGCCUCUGAGCCAUCUCUUCAGCCCCUCUCCUCGCUUUGGUAUUGACUUUCUCUACAUGUGGAUAUUUUCAGUUUCAAGAAAUAAAUGCCUCAAGGUUUCAGAUGAGUAAGACUGUUAAUAAUAACCACUCAUACAUGGAUACAAACAUGCUGAGGGGGGGAAACACAGCAGAAAUAACAAAGAGACCCAGGAGCACCGGAGAUGGCAGCUGCUGGGGUCCUUAGUCAACCAUAAAGACUGAUGAAUGACAUAAAUCAAUAGACCCAGGAAGGCGAGCAUGUCGACACAUGGCACUGGCCAAGGCAACAUACUGAAGCCACAGGAAACUGAUGGAGAGUGUGUGCAUAUGACAGAGGACACGCUACCUUCAGAAGUGUAAAACAGCUGAUUUCUCCAACAAUGGAAGGUAAAGGCAGUAAAACUAUAUAAUCAGCACAGUGAAAGAAAACUGACGCCCAUUGAGAACCCUAAAACUUUAUUACCAGAAAUUCCAUUAUCAUUUGUUUAAAUGAGUCUUGAAAGUCCUGGACCUUAUACUUAAGAGAGAAAUGAAAGGAUCCAGAUGAAAGGCCCAAAGCCCAAGGCCCAAGGUACA